rnacentral:rRNA from 1 species
AGAGUUUGAUCCUGGCUCAGGACGAACGCUGGCGGCGUGCCUAACACAUGCAAGUCGAACGGAGAUUUCAGCAAUGGAAUCUUAGUGGCGAACGGGUGAGUAACGCGUAGACAACCUACCUUCUAGAUGGGGACAACACUGCGAAAGUGGUGCUAAUACCGAAUGUUGUAUUUUAGAUGCAUAUUUAAGAUACUAAAGGUGGCCUCUAUUUAUAAGCUACCACUAGAAGAUGGGUCUGCGUCUGAUUAGCUAGUUGGUGAGGUAAUGGCUCACCAAGGCGACGAUCAGUAGCCGGUCUGAGAGGAUGAACGGCCACACUGGGACUGAGACACGGCCCAGACUCCUACGGGAGGCAGCAGUGGGGAAUCUUCCGCAAUGGACGAAAGUCUGACGGAGCAACGCCGCGUGAGUGAAGAAGGUUUUCGGA